CCCUACGGGGCACAGCAGUGGGGAAUAUUGCACAAUGGGGGAAACCCUGAUGCAGCGACGCCGCGUGAGUGAAGAAGUAUUUCGGUAUGUAAAGCUCUAUCAGCAGGGAAGAAGCAAGACGGUACCUGACUAAGAAGCCCCGGCUAACUACGUGCCAGCAGCCGCGGUAAUACGUAGGGGGCAAGCGUUAUCCGGAUUUACUGGGUGUAAAGGGAGCGUAGACGGUAUGGCAAGUCUGAAGUGAAAGCCCUGGGCUUAACCAUGGGACUGCUUUGGAAA
rnacentral:rRNA from 1 species